GACGAACGCUGGCGGCGUGCCUAACACAUGCAAGUCGAGCGGGGUUGAGGCGAGAGGUAACUCGAGCUUCUACCUAGCGGCGGACGGGUGAGUAACGCGUGGGCAACCUGCCUCAAGGUUUGGGAUAACAGCCCGAAAGGGCUGCUAAUACCGGAUAUGCCUAUGGCCUCGCAUGGGGCUAUGAGCAAAGGGGAAACCCGCCUUGAGAUGGGCCCGCGUCCCAUCAGCUAGUUGGUGAGGUAACAGCUCACCAAGGCGACGACGGGUAGCCGGCCUGAGAGGGUGACCGGCCACACUGGGACUGAGACACGGCCCAGACUCCUACGGGAGGCAGCAGCUAAGAAUCUUCCGCAAUGGGGGCAACCCUGACGGAGCGACGCCGCGUGAACGAGGAAGGCCGAAAGGUUGUAAAGUUCUUUCUUGGGAAGAAUAAGGGAAGAGGGAAUGCUUCUCUGAUGACGGUAACCGAGGAAAAAGCCCCGGACCAAUUACGUGCCAGCAGCCGCGGUAAUACGUCUA
rnacentral:rRNA from 1 species